rnacentral:lncRNA from 1 species
UAUAUUUUCACACCACAUAUAAUUUAACUGUGGAACUGUUAAGAGGCUGGAACUAUAAACAGAGUCUUCUGAUGUAUUCAAUUAGAAAAAAAUAUUAUGAGGAAACUGAAGUCCAUGCAUGGCUAUUAAUACUAUGAUAUGCAUAAAACUUCUGAAUUAGGAAAUUCCUAAACAUCAAAUUACUGGAAAUUGGGAGACUAUCACUUGCCCACCUUCUGUUUCUGCCCUGCCAAGUGUUUUCCCAGAUAUCAUCUACUGGUUAUUCACUGUCAGAAAUCAGACAAUUUGGUGCACUGUCUUUUAGCUGCAGGUGGGCCAUACAGCAUUUGCACUGUCACACUGCUCCUCAGUGAUCUCAUUGACCAAGAAAAGAAGAUGGACAAAUAAAUUUCCCUGUAUGUGUUUGGCCAUCUGUUUGGAACCAGCAAGCUGGAAAAGAUCUGGGUUCUGUGGUCUGUCCACAACCAGCAAGGUUCCAGUGAUACUGCACAUUCUGGAUUCCUUUGGAGUCUUCAGAUACAGAUACGAAUUAUCCCCAGAAUUCCCAUAAAGCAGACUGCAACAUAUCACGGAUAAUUUCUGCCUGAAGCACUUUUAAUCUAGCAAGCAAGAGACACUUUGUCAAGUCAAGACAGCAAGAACAGAGAACAGGUGAUAGAAAACAAACACAAGAAAAUUAAUGUACAGAAAUAGUACAGUCUAGAAACAGCAGAUUUAAAACUGUGAGCUCUCAGACUGAUCUUUUCUUUGGGAUGAGCUUUGCCUAUUCUACUGCAUGUAACCUUUUCUGACCACACCUACUCUAAAAGUCUUGACCCUAACACGUUUCAAGUUAACUGACUACAGAUGGCAAAUGCUAAU